rnacentral:rRNA from 1 species
AGAGUUUGAUCAUGGCUCAGGAUGAACGCUAGCGGCAGGCCUAAUACAUGCAAGUCGAGGGGUAAGAGUCAGCUUGCUGACUACACGACCGGCGCACGGGUGCGUAACGCGUAUGCAACCUACCUUUAACAGAGGAAUAGCCCCGAGAAAUCGGGAUUAAUACCACAUAACAUUAUGAUAUGGCAUCAUAUUAUAAUUAAAACUCCGGUGGUUAAAGAUGGGCAUGCGUGACAUUAGCUAGUUGGUGAGGUAACUGCUCACCAAGGCUACGAUGUCUAGGGGUUCUGAGAGGAUGAUCCCCCACACUGGUACUGAGACACGGACCAGACUCCUACGGGAGGCAGCAGUAAGGAAUAUUGCGCAAUGGAGGCAACUCUGACGCAGCCAUGCCGCGUGCAGGAUUGAAGGCCUUAUGGGUCGUAAA